GUGAAUUCCAUGUCCUGCAUGUCACGGUAAUGCUUUUCGAGCUGAGUGUAGAUCCGCGUCAGUUCCUUGAACGCCUCCGGCAUCGCAACUUCCAUCGACGCUUUGUCGGAGCCGGAUUCCUUGCGCGCAUAUUCGGUGAUGUCCUGCGGCGUGCGGAUNGCCCGCCACCACGUCUUCACCCUGCGCGUUGAUGAGGAAUUCGCCGUACAGCCGUUUCUCGCCAGUGGACGGAUUGCGGGUGAAGGCAACGCCGGUUGCCGAGGUGUCGCCCAUGUUGCCGAACACCAUGGACUGGAUGUUGACGGCGGUGCCCCAUGACUCAGGGAUGUCGUGCAGGCGGCGAUAGGUCACCGCGCGCGCAUUCAUCCAUGACGAGAACACCGCGCCGAUCGCGCCCCACAACUGCGCGUGCGGGUCCUGCGGGAAAUCUGCGCCGGUUUCACGCGCCACCGCGUCCUUGUACUUGCCGACCAGAUCGACCCAGUCGUCCGCGGUCAGUUCGGUGUCGAGCGAAUAGCCCUUGCUGUCCUUGUAGGUGUCGAGGAUAUCCUCGAAGUGAUGAUGCUCGAAGCCGAGCACAACAUCCGAAUACAUCGUGAUGAAGCGGCGAUAGCUGUCAUAGGCGAAACGGC
rnacentral:misc_RNA from 1 species